rnacentral:sRNA from 1 species
GUGCAUUCCCAUGUAGGCGGCCUAGGAUAUCCUUGGGAUAUGGAUUGUGUAUUGUCUCCCCUGACACAUUCACUGAGGGUGGAGUCCAUGCCUGUUUUCCUUUCCUUUUUGUCUCUCUCUCAGUCCCAUCCCAGGCUCUAGGCUUCUCACCCAAAAGCUCUCUCCCUGUCUCUUUGUUUCCCCCAUAUUCUGGUAUGAAUUCUUUGGGUAUCUCUCACAAACUGACCCUGGCCCCCCUAAAACACCCCACAGUCACCUUCAAGCUGUACGACACGGACAGAAAUGGGAUCCUGGACAGCUCAGUGAGUUGGGGACCCUGUAUGCUGGGCAAGGGAAUAUGUGUUAAUUUGUCUGCACCCUCCUGCCCCAACUCUUCCAGGGUCUUAAGAAACAGAAGAGGAUGGGGGGAGAGGUUGAGUCCUCUAGGACUAAAUUUGAAAGUAAGUCCCAAGCUCUUGACCCCUCAAAGAGAAUGCUGGAGACAUGAAUUGGGUCUGCCUUACAAACAUACAAACACAUUUAUUUACUUGGCAGACGUACCUGAGAAUGAGAGGUGUGAAUCUGGGGUGGAACCCAGGAACACUGAUUUCUGGAAAAGAGUUUGGAUGGUGGUAGUAAAGGGGAUAUGGCUGUGGCUCUUCCCUUUUUGCUCCAGGAAGUGGACAAAAUUAUCCUACAGAUGAUGCGAGUGGCUGAAUACCUGGAUUGGGAUGUGUCUGAGCUGAGGCCGAUUCUUCAGGAGAUGAUGAAAGAGAUUGACUAUGAUGGCAGUGGCUCUGUCUCUCAAGCUGAGUGGGUCCGGGCUGGGGCCACCACCGUGCCACUGCUAGUGCUGCUGGGUCUGGAGAUGACUCUGAAGGACGAUGGACAGCACAUGUGGAGGCCCAAGAGGUUCCCCAGACCAGUCUACUGCAAUCUGUGCGAGUCAAGCAUUGGUCUUGGCAAACAGGGACUGAGCUGUAACCGUGAGUAAUGGGAGCUGGGAGGUAGGGGAAGAGGGUCAGCCCAGCUAUCUGUGGGAGCUUGACGCUGUAAACUUAGAAAGACCUAGGUUUGAAUCCUGGGCUCUGCCACUGACUAGUUAUGUGACCUUGGGAAAGCCACAUCACUUCUUUAAGCCUUAGUUUCCUCAACUGAAAAUGAGGUAAUUGUGAGCAUUAAAAAAGCUGGUGCAAGAAAAGUGCUUCAGAUGGUGCAUGCACAUACUAUAAGAUGCAAUAAAAAAUAUCUAUUAUGAUUACUGUUGCUGUUAGACCUGGGCCUCCCAAGCAUUAUCCAGCUCAGUUCCUGCCUGGCACAUGGAUGGUGUGGGGCAGGCAUGCAGUAGCAGCUGAUCUUUUAGGAGGAAGAGUAAGGAAAAGGCGUGGGUUUUGGAGGUGGGCACUUCACCCCGAACUUUUAUUCUGCUACACCCUCAAGCAAGGGAUCACAUAUCUGAUCCUGCCUCACCCUCAGGUAAGAAGGAAAUAGGGGGAGAGGCUCAGCUAAGCCUCCCAACUUCUUCCUUCUCCCUCAGUCUGUAAGUACACUGUUCACGACCAGUGUGCCAUGAAAGCCCUGCCUUGUGAAGUCAGCACCUAUGCCAAGUCUCGGAAGGACAUUGGUGUGAGUGAUCUCAUGCCUCCACCCCCAACAUCACCUACAUCCUGGCCCUGGCCCUGGCCCUUGGCCCAUUGCUGCCCUCAGCCCCUCCCUCCCCUAGGUCCUGCUCAGACCCUCCCAGACAAGGAACUGCCUUUCUCCCCAAGGUCCAAUCACAUGUGUGGGUGCGAGGAGGCUGUGAGUCCGGGCGCUGCGACCGCUGUCAGAAAAAGAUCCGGAUCUACCACAGUCUGACCGGGCUGCAUUGUGUAUGGUGCCACCUAGAGAUCCACGAUGACUGCCUGCAAGCGGUGGGCCAUGAGUGUGACUGUGGGCUGCUCCGGGAUCACAUCCUGCCUCCAUCUUCCAUCUAUCCCAGUGUCCUGGCCUCUGGACCGGAUCGUAAAAAUAGCAAAACAAGCCAGAAGACCAUGGAUGAUUUAAAUUUGAGCACCUCUGAGGCUCUGCGGAUUGACCCUGUUCCUAACACCCACCCACUUCUCGUCUUUGUCAAUCCUAAGAGUGGCGGGAAGCAGGGGCAGAGGGUGCUCUGGAAGUUCCAGUAUAUAUUAAACCCUCGACAGGUGUUCAACCUCCUAAAGGAUGGUCCUGAGAUAGGGCUCCGAUUAUUCAAGGAUGUUCCUGAUAGCCGGAUUUUGGUGUGUGGUGGAGAUGGCACAGUAGGCUGGAUUCUAGAGACCAUUGACAAAGCUAACUUGCCAGUUUUGCCUCCUGUUGCUGUGUUGCCCCUGGGUACUGGAAAUGAUCUGGCUCGAUGCCUAAGAUGGGGAGGAGAUGGAAUCUCGCUCUGUUGCCCAUGCUGGAGUGCAGUGGUGCCAUCUCAGCUCACUGCAACCUCUGCCUCCCAGGUUCAAGUGAUUCUCCUGUCUCAGCCUCCUGAAUAGCUGGAAAUACAGGUGGUAUGAAGGACAGAAUCUGGCAAAGAUCCUCAAGGAUUUAGAGAUGAGUAAAGUGGUACAUAUGGAUCGAUGGUCUGUGGAGGUGAUACCUCAACAAACUGAAGAAAAAAGUGACCCAGUCCCCUUUCAAAUCAUCAAUAACUACUUCUCUAUUGGCGUGGUCAGUGGAAUGGGGCCUGGGGAGAAGGGAGAAAGGGGGGGCCAAGCAGUCAGAGGCUGGAGGAGAGCAGAAAAGGAGGGGGAGGUUAAGUGACCUGUGACACAGGGAAAUUGGGAGUGCAGUACAGUGCUGAGUUGCAAGGGAAGAUCUUGGGACAUGCUGUGGCGAGCAGUGUGGGGACUUGGGAAAGAGGGGAGACCGGGAGGGAGAGAUUGAGCUCUGUACUGACCUUCAUGUCCCGAACUCUCCAGGAUGCCUCUAUUGCUCAUCGAUUCCACAUCAUGCGAGAGAAAUAUCCGGAGAAGUUCAACAGCAGAAUGAAGAACAAGCUAUGGUACUUCGAAUUUGCCACAUCUGAAUCCAUCUUCUCAACAUGCAAAAAGCUGGAGGAGUCUUUGACAGUUGAGGUGUGUGUAAUAAGACUUAACCCUACAUCCUUUUCAGCUUCUUAAUAGCCAAGUUUCUCCCUCCAUGGCACCCUUAGGAACUUCCCAUAUUCUUGAACCUAUGCUUCUUUAACCUCCCAGCUCUCCUACCCCAAUUCUCCAAGUCCUCAAGAUACACUAGUCCCUAUUUCCAUCCCUUGCACACCUCCAAAUCCUGCCUUCUCCAGUUUGUCAUCUGGUGGAGGGAGCGAUCACAUCUAUGAUCAUGCCAUGAGGUGAGGAUCUGUACCCUCCCUAACUGGGACUGUGCCCCCUCCUCUCAGAUCUGUGGGAAACCGCUGGAUCUGAGCAACCUGUCCCUAGAAGGCAUCGCAGUGCUAAACAUCCCUAGCAUGCAUGGUGGCUCCAACCUCUGGGGUGAUACCAGGAGACCCCAUGGGGAUAUCUAUGGGAUCAACCAGGCCUUAGGUGCUACAGCUAAAGUCAUCACCGACCCUGAUAUCCUGAAAACCUGUGUACCAGACCUAAGUGACAAGAGACUGGAAGUGGUCGGGCUGGAGGGUGCAAUUGAGAUGGGCCAAAUCUAUACCAAGCUCAAGAAUGCCGGACGUCGGCUGGCCAAGUGCUCUGAGAUCACCUUCCACACCACAAAAACCCUUCCCAUGCAAAUUGAUGGAGAACCCUGGAUGCAGACGCCCUGUACAGUGAGUAUUGACGAUCCCAGCCAAAAAUUAAACCCUUGGGCUCCAUGGAUCCUAAAUCCCCAUUCCACAGCUUCUUUACACCCUUCUGAUGCCUGAACUUCCCCUGCACAUCAUUCAUCCUAAACCCUGAUUUCUCAGCCCCUGGUUUCCCUAUCGUGGCCUCUCUAGGAAUCUAGCAACCCACCCCAAACCCCACAGAUUUCCCUCUAAAUCUCUGAAGCCACAGCCCCAAAGUAUCAGGUCCUGCCUCUGAAUGUGCUCCCUUCCCUUCCAGAUCAAGAUCACCCACAAGAACCAGAUGCCCAUGCUCAUGGGCCCACCCCCCCGCUCCACCAAUUUCUUUGGCUUCUUGAGCUAAGGGGGACACCCUUGGCCUCCAAGCCAGCCUUGAACCCACCUCCCUGUCCCUGGACUCUACUCCCGAGGCUCUGUACAUUGCUGCCACAUACUCCUGCCAGCUUGGGGGAGUGUUCCUUCACCCUCACAGUAUUUAUUAUCCUGCACCACCUCACUGUUCCCCAUGCGCACACACAUACACACACCCCAAAACACAUACAUUGAAAGUGCCUCAUCUGAAUAAAAUGACUUGUGUUUCCCCUUUGGG